rnacentral:misc_RNA from 1 species
AGGGAUAGUUACCGCUGUGUGGAAACCUUUUGCUCAUCAAAUAUCUCAACGUCUCCUUAACAUCAUCAGCGUCCCCUUUUGAAAGGGGGAAAUGCAGAAGUACUUGCAAGAUACCAGCGAGGCCAUUGGCUGCACCAUAAUAUCUUGUCCCGUGCCAUCUGUACAUCAGAGGGCACUCUGGGUUGUCGGAUGCGCCUGUCCUGCCACCCGCUAAAACAGCAUCAACUACAGACAUGAGAAGAUCAUGGGGUAACCUCUGCUCUCCAAGAUGCUUAUUAAUGAAUAAGGCAGCCCACAAGAACCCAGCUCGCCCAUAAAGGAGAUCAUAUGACAUUCCAAAACCUCCUUCUUCAGGUCCAAUAGGGAGUGCUUUCUCUUGUGCCGCCUGGAGAAAGAGAUUGAAGAACAAGUCAAGCUUUUGAGGGUCCCCCAUGUAAUGAGAUACCACAGCGCCAAGAGCACAAACUCCUCCUCUACCACACAGAAACGUCAAGUUCCUGUGAGAGGCACGUGCUGCAACCGUACAAGUGUCGACGAUGUCAGAGCACAAUAGCAAGUCCUGGUGGUUCCCGGACAGGUCCAAUAGGGAGUGCUUUCUCUUGUGCCGCCUGGAGAAAGAGAUUGAAGAACAAGUCAAGCUUUUGAGGGUCCCCCAUGUAAUGAGAUACCACAGCGCCAAGAGCACAAACUCCUCCUCUACCACACAGAAACGUCAAGUUCCUGUGAGAGGCACGUGCUGCAACCGUACAAGUGUCGACGAUGUCAGAGCACAAUAGCAAGUCCUGGUGGUUCCCGGA